rnacentral:lncRNA from 1 species
GCAAAUAGACCCGGCCAUCCCAAUCUUAUAACCCAUGACCCCACCCUUACGUCCUCGUCUUCUUCUACACGUGAACCUAAACGCGAAGAAAUUUCAGCAAACAGGGAAAUAGCAACUCGAGUGCAGUUUCAAUCGCGCGCAUCUGUCCCUCCCCCCCCUCUCAUCCUUAUCCUUGUCGUACGGUAUAAUCCAGAUGUUGCAGUCUCGUGGUUUGCUCAUCCUUGCAAAGAAUUAUGACGAUCCUCCUCAGCAGCCCGUUGCAGAUUGAUGAAUUUCGUACUAUUGACAGCUAUUCAAUAUUAUCUCUUAAGAAAAUGGGAAUUUUGAUUUUAAAAUUUGACCCUUUUUCCUCCCCCUCAAAUCCGAACCUCAAUCCCUUGGUAUAAAUAAUCCUUUUCUUUUGUGUUAGGGGGAAUUUUUGGGGGUGUUUGAUAGAUUAUGUAUAAAAAAUAUAUAUAGAGGAAGAAAUUUUAGAGUAAACAAAGAAGGUUUGGUCUUCACUUAUACAAAUUUUGGAAGAAGCAUAGUUUAGAGAAAAACAAAAAAAAUUUAUAAGGUUGCAGACAAAAAGUUAAUAUUUGAACAAGGAGCAUUCUCAAAUAGUAUCCUAAAGAACUUAAUUCUCUUUCCGUUUCUUUUCUUCUUUCACGCAUAGAUCGCCGGAGUUCACAGAAUCUCAUGAGGAUGUGGUGAAGUUGUUGCUAUGUUUCGUCUUGUCCCAGAAGCUGCCUAUAAGAAGGUAAAACUCCUCUCUCGAUAGCAUUCACAUAAUCUUUUUUUUGGAGUUGAUAUUUUUGAUAUUGGAAAUGUGUAUCAAUGGUUGUUUGUUGCUACUCUAGUUGGUUGGUAAUGUUAGUAAAAAUACAUACAUUCUCGGCUAACUUCCUGGUUUAAUAUUACUGUGAACUAAAAUUAUUGCCACCUUGCGGAUGAUAUUGUUGCUUUUACAUUCUUUUAUGUGAAUUUGUUACAUCAGUUGCUUCUCGUUUGUUUGUCUGCGUAUCUAAAUGAGGUUAUGCAUCUUCCUGUUUUUGAAGGUGAUGGUAUUUUCAACUUUGUGCUCUUAUAAUAGCAUGCGUACAGUGCCUAUAUAUAUCUCGUUAAGAUAGGAAAUCAUAUCAUUUCUAUUCCGUUUGAGUCUAGUGGCUUUUUUCUUUUGUUCGUUUUGUAUGUCUUCACUUGUAUUUGUUUUGUUUUUUUCUAAAAAAAUGUAAAAAGACCCUUCAUCGAAGUUGACCAAACUCUUUAGUUAAUUGUAAUUUUUUUAAAUAUGCUUAGUUUUAAUUUUUGGAGCUGACCUCACUGACCAUCGUGGCCACUUAGCAUGACUGUGUUAAGUUGUCAAAUUGCUUAGUAUGUUAUGGGUACAUAUGUCAAGAGUUAGAUGAUGUAGAGUCGAUUUUAACUUUAAGUAUGGAUAUUGUUUUAGUUUCACAGCAGGUUUAGCCAAAAGGUUCUCAAAUUCUUAUAUUUUUAUUGGCUUGAAAACUAUUUCCAAAUCAGUUAACUAUUAGGUGCCUUGUUAUUUUGCUCUCUAAGCUAUAGUUUGAAUAAUGUGUGAUGCGAUUAAUAAUGUGAAAAAUCUUUUGUACAUAGUAAUAUAUAUGUUUUUUACUUUGUGAUAGUACGACGUCACUUGUUUGAUUAUCUAAUCCCAUCUAAGUUUCGUCUAAUGCUUGGAAUACGUGAGUCUUGUUCAUUGUCCUACUUACAGAAAUAUUAGUUGUUUUAAUUAAUUAGGCCUGAUAAAAGUUGUUGCUUGGGAUCUUCCACUCAAAUUCCUUAAUCCAUCAAUUUAUUUUCUUUAGUCUAAGACGUCACAUUUUAACUUCCUUUGAUGCGUUAGUCAUUUUGUGAUUGAUUAAUUGUUAUCAAAUUGUGGUUUUGAGAUGCUAUAUAUAUCGAAUACUAAUUCUCACUAUCAUUGUUUGCAUGUGAUUUAUUCUGAGUUUGUCUUGAACUCCUUCCUGUCUCGGAUUUUGGAAGAGACAUAAAGGCUUAAAUAUUCAUUUUCUUGGGUUUACAAUUCCCCCUUUUUCCUACUAAGACUUACGAACAGAUUUUGGAACCAAAAUUUGAAGAGGAGACAUUGAAGAGUUCAUGUUUUGUGACUAAAAGCCGAUAUUUUGUAUUUAUUUUAUAUCAUCUUUUUUUUAGGCCUAAGGUCUUUCUAAGUUUAAUUAUUUUAUUUGAUUAGUCUAGGACAGAUACAAAAGAAAAAGGUCAAGGUCCCUAAAAUGCCAAACGGGUCCAAAUAUUUGUCCAGGCAGACAGAUAACCAAGAUUGGGGCCCAACUCUCUGUCUCUCUCUGUCUCUCUUACUUUUGUUUAUUUAUUAGUUUUUAUAUGUCGCUAGUUUAAUGUUCGAAAACUCCAAAUUCCCCGCGAACGCUUUAAAUAUUAUAUCGACUUAAAAUCAAUAAAUUUUGCACAUAAAUCACUUAGAUAAUAAGUAAGUAGUUUAACUCUUUACCAUUCCGAACUUUUUUUCAAGUUAAAUAGAAGUCUAGCAAAACUAAGUUAGUUGUCUGAUAACCACAUUAAUAGAUAUUUAGGAUCCUAGUACCUACCUAAAAUAUAAAUAGGAAUAUCCGAACGCUUUAAAUGUUUUCAAAAUGAUUUUAUCUAUUAAUUCUUUUGGAAACGCUAGUUUUCUUGUUUCUUCUUCAAAAUUAAGUGGCGACUCAAAAAGUUAAAAAUUCUUCAAAAUAAAUAUUUUUCCUUUAACUAAUAAUCUACCUAUUAAGGUACGUGAGAUUAUUUGUUAUUGAGUACUUUAACCCACACCCCAAUUUGGUUCAAUAUAAAAAAUUAGAGUUUAUUCGAAUGAAAAUCUUGAAGUCAUUGAUGAAAAGUGUGAAGUUCUUGUUGGUUGAAUUGUAGUUGAUCUCUAGUAGUUUAUUCAUGUUUCCGGACUAUUUUCGGGUCUAAUCUAUUGGUUAAGGAGGUAUUUAGGGAUCCUAAGUGUUUGUCUUAGGGUGGGAUCCAUGGAUGUUUAGGAGGUUUAAACAUGAAAAAUGGAGAAGAAAAAUCCAAAACGUCCCGGUAGAUAACUGUUAGGGCACUGCGCCUGCCAAAGAGCCUAAGGGAAGCCUCUUCUGAAAAACCCUGGCGCGCCGCACUUCUUUGAGCGCCCAAUAUCAGGGUCUUUCCAAUAGUCCCUGGCGCCCUGCGCCUCUCACAACGCCAAUACCCCCUGGAGACCCCGUUCUUUCCCUAUCUUUCAACACUAGUUCCUAAGUUAUGUACCUAUCAUUUCUUCUUGAUUUCAACAGUCUAAAUUACAUCUAAACAUCAUGAAAUAAUCUCUAAACAUGAGAUCAUGAUCGUUGAAUCCAUAAUUCAGUUCAAGGGAAGCUAAUAAAAAAGUCAAAGAAGUUAAGAGUCAAGUUUAAAAGUUAAGAAGUACGUAAAAAUGAGUUCUUAAAGUUUUCAAAGAGUCUUAAACAAUCUUUUUAACUUUUAUUUAAGGCUCAAGUUACAAGUUGAGCAAAGUGAAAAUAGUUGAUUUAAAUUCUCAAAAAUUAUAAGGGAACUAAUUAUUUCCUAAUAGGUAAAGUUCGAGGUUAAGUACAGAGCAAGAGUUGAGUUGAUUUCUCUAAUUUAUAUGGGGGACUAAGUAUUCCCUAAAGGUUGAUAAAUGUUUCAUAUAUAAGUUGAAAGGGAACUAAGAAGUUCUAAAAGUGUUUUGAACUAAAAAUGGCAACAUUGAUUCCAAAAGGAACUUUUUAAAGCUAAAGGGUUCAGUAAAUUAUCUAAGGAAAUUUUACUAAAAGUAUGAUAUAAAGAAAGUUUUGGGAGUAGUAAUUAGCACCGAUGAGGGUAUGAGAGUUUAGAUAACUCAAGUCCCCAUGUAAGCCAUGUAGCCAUCAUGGGUAUUAACGUGUCAUACAUUUUAGAUGAUAACAUGAGUUUAACUAGUGGAUCAACUAGGUUAAUGAUGUUCUGUACGAUGGAAAAGUAUAGGAAAGUUUAAGCAGCGUGGACGAGAUGUUGUAUCACCACUUAGGCCCAUAGUUGUGGUUGUCGAUUAGAGAAACUUCCAUAGAAACUAUAUUACUUACAUAUAUAAGCCAAGUUGAGUUUAUUAUUAUUUUAUAUUUAGUGAACUAAGAGUUUAUAUUGCUUUACUAGUUAUAUAUAUAUAUUGGGUAUGUUCUUAUUGCUUUAUAUUGAGUUGUUAUCUUAUGUGUUGAGAAGAGACAAUGCAAGUUCAUCCUUACUUAAUUUCAAGAUUUAUUGUUGUGUUUAACAUUUCAACUUGCAUACUCGUACACUCAAUGUACUUAUAUCAGUUUGCAUGCAUCAUUUUAUGAUGCAGAGGCAGGUAACUAGGAUUAGCACGCAACUCAUCGAGCUCCGGAGUAAGUGGUGAUCCUCCUUGCAUUCCGUAGGACAUCCUCUUCAUUUGCUAUAUUAGUUUAGUUGUUUUAGGAUGUUAUGGAGUCUUUCCCAACAUUCAUCUCAGUAAGUUUAG